rnacentral:misc_RNA from 1 species
GUGAAUCAUCGAAUUUUUGAACGCAAAUUGCACUCUCCGCGAGGAGUAUGGCUGUGUGAGUGUCAGCGUAUAAAGAUCGACAUCGUUGCUGUUUCGCGUGGGCGUUCGUCGUAAAUUGGGGCAUCGUACAUCCUUUUGAUUUAAGCGACUUAAAAUUUUCUUUUGGUUCCAUGAACGUUUCUAAGAUCUAUUUCUUACACGUUUAAGGUAUCAAUUUUUACUUUACGUUACCUUCAUAUCG